rnacentral:rRNA from 1 species
CCUACGGGGGGCAGCAGUGGGGAAUAUUGGACAAUGGGGGCAACCCUGAUCCAGCCAUGCCGCGUGUGUGAAGAAGGCCCUCGGGUUGUAAAGCACUUUCAGUGAGGAAGAACGCCUGGUGGUUAAUACCCAUCAGGAAAGACAUCACUCACAGAAGAAGCACCGGCUAACUCCGUGCCAGCAGCCGCGGUAAUACGGAGGGUGCGAGCGUUAAUCGGAAUUACUGGGCGUAAAGCGCGCGUAGGUGGCUUGAUAAGCCGGUUGUGAAAGCCCCGGGCUCAACCUGGGAACGGCAUCCGGAACUGUCAAGCUAGAGUGCAGGGGAGGAAGGUAGAAUUCCCGGUGUAGCGGUGAAAUGCGUAGAGAGCGGGAGGAAUACCAGUGGCGAAGGCGGCCUUCUGGACUGACACUGACACUGAGGUGCGAAAGCGUGGGUAGCAAACAGGAUUAGAUACCCCUGUAGUC